UACGUAGGGAGCGAGCGUUGUCCGGAAUUACUGGGUGUAAAGGGAGCGUAGGCGGAUUUGCAAGUUGAAUGUGAAAUUUAUGGGCUUAACCCAUAAACUGCGUUCAAAACUGUGAAUCUUGAGUGAAGUAGAGGCAAAUGGAAUUCCUAGUGUAGCGGUGGAAUGCAUAGAUAUUAGGAGGAACACCAGUGGCGAAAGCGAUUUGCUGGGCUUUAACUGACGCUGAGGCUCGAAAGCGUGGGGAGCAAAC
rnacentral:rRNA from 1 species